CAGUCGCCGCGGUAAUACGUAGGGUGCGAGCGUUAAUCGGAAUUACUGGGCGUAAAGCGUGCGCAGGCGGUUUUGUAAGACAGGCGUGAAAUCCCCGGGCUCAACCUGGGAAUGGCGCUUGUGACUGCAAAGCUAGAGUGCGGCAGAGGGGGAUGGAAUUCCGCGUGUAGCAGUGAAAUGCGUAGAUAUGCGGAGGAACACCGAUGGCGAAGGCAAUCCCCUGGGCCUGCACUGACGCUCAUGCACGAAAGCGUGGGGAGCAAACAGGAUUAGAUACCCGGGUAGUCCCUGUCUCUUAUCC
rnacentral:rRNA from 1 species